rnacentral:rRNA from 1 species
UUUUCUUAGAAAUGUGUAAAAGUACACAAUGAAUUAUCAAGUUAAAAAACAAUAAUUAAUUGUUUAUAACUUAAAUUCUAUUGGACUUUUUUGAGGAUAAGCUCGAAAAUUGUUGCCGAGGACUGUAUAAUUUAAAAUUAUUGUGUAGGCCUAAAAUUAGCCACCACUAGAGUUUGUUAUAAAACAAUAAAAAUAUAUAAAAAUAUUACUAUACAUAGCUACCGCAUAAAACUAUAAGAAUAGCAAUCUGAACCUAGAGGUUGUGUACCUAUGCUAAGAUGAGUAUUAAAAUUAUCUAAAGUUUGAAAUAAAUUAUUUCCUGAGACAAUAUUUUUUAUAUAAAUUAAAGAGAAGGAAUUCGGCAAACGUUGUUUCGCCUGUUUAUCAAAAACAUGGCUCUUUGGGGAAAAUAUAUAGAGAGUCGAACCUGCCCAGUGAAUAAUUUUAACGGCCGCGGUACCCUGACCGUGCAAAGGUAGCAUAAUCAUUUGCCUUAUAAUUGAAGGCUGGCAUGAAUGGUCUGACGAGAGCAACGCUGUCUCCUCUUUAUUAUUUAAAAAUUAACUUAUAGGUGAAGAGGCCUAUAUUGAAUUGAAGGACAAGAAGACCCUGUCGAGCUUAAAAGAAAGAUAGGGAUUAGUUAUUAAAUAAAAAUCAAAAACUAUAAAGCUUUUUAGUUGGGGCGACUUAGGAACAAAUAAAGCUUCUUUUAUUUUUAUAAAUCUACAAAUUUGGAUCCAGCAAGGCUGAUCAGAGAAACUAGUUACCGCAGGGAUAACAGCAUAAUCUCCUUUAAGAGACCUAAUCGAAAGGGGGGGUUGUGACCUCGAUGUUGGACUAGAAUGUCCUGAAGAUGCAGACG